AUUGAACGCUGGCGGCAGGCCUAACACAUGCAAGUCGAGCGGAUGAAGGGAGCUUGCUCCUGGAUUCAGCGGCGGACGGGUGAGUAAUGCCUAGGAAUCUGCCUGGUAGUGGGGGAUAACGUCCGGAAACGGGCGCUAAUACCGCAUACGUCCUGAGGGAGAAAGUGGGGGAUCUUCUGACCUCACGCUAUCAGAUGAGCCUAGGUCGGAUCAGCUAGUUGGUGGGGUAAAGGCCUACCAAGGCGACGAUCCGUAACUGGUCUGAGAGGAUGAUCAGUCACACUGGAACUGAGACACGGUCCAGACUCCUACGGGAGGCAGCAGUGGGGAAUAUUGGGCAUUGGGCGAAAGCCUGAUCCAGCCAUGCCGCGUGUGUGAAGAAGGUCUUCGGAUUGUAAAGCACUUUAAGUUGGGAGGAAGGGCAGUAAGUUAGUACCUUGCUGUUUUGACGUUACCAACAGAAUAAGCACCGGCUAACUUCGUG
rnacentral:rRNA from 1 species